UGGUUGGCUCCAACACACAGACACAGUCAGACAAAGAGGAGCAGCAUCCUACAGGACCAGGGUCCCGGGGGAUGGGGCAUCACACUCCCGCAGCGCGCUGGGGGGGCCAGAGGAGGUUCAGGAGAGCUUGUCCGAAGGGCAGCAGGGGAAGGGCCAAACGAGGAGAGGGCACCAUGGACAGUGAACAUGUGCCUCCAGCCUCCAGUGCCAGCAGCACUGGGACCACUGCCUCCAGCACAAGUACCACCAGCAGCAGCAGUGCGGGGAGGCAGGCUGUGCCUCACAUCUCUGUGUACAGCGGGAUUCCUGACAGGCAGACGGUUCAGGUGAUCCAGCAGGCGUUGCACCGGCAGCCCAACACGGCUGCGCAGUACCUGCAGCAGAUGUACGCAGCGCAGCAGCAGCACCUCAUGCUGCAGACAGCAGCACUCCAGCAGCAGCACCUGAGCAAUGCACAGCUCCAGAGCCUGGCCGCCGUACAGCAGGCCAGUAUUGCGGCAGGAAGGCAGAGCUCCACCCAAAAUGCCACUUCGUCCCAGCAAACAGGAUCAUCCCAGACCACAAUUAACCUGACCACAUCCCCGGCUGCAGCCCAGCUGAUCAGUAGAGCCCAGAGUGUCAGCUCUGCACCCGCCGGCAGCAUCUCCCAGCAGGCUGUAAUCCUGGGAAGCCCGUCCAGCCCCACCACCCUCACUGCCAGUCAGGCUCAUAUGUACCUGCGUGCACAGAUGGCACAGCAAAGUAACCUUGUGCAAGUAGCUAGGAGCCUAGGCCGUGCUGUUCCGUUGUCCCCCCCAGCUCAUCUUCACACCUACAGCCACAGUGGCUGCAGUCCAGUCUGAGAGCUCCACGCGGUCCUCUGGACAACAGUCCUCCUCACAGGUCCAGAACCUGGCUAUCCGUAGCCAGCAAGGGGCGACCACGUCCUCCUCUCAGACACACAACCUGCAGGCCCUCAGCCUAAAGCAGAGCCCUAUCUCCAUCCAGCCCUCUCCCCUGAUUAAGAACCCCAGCCAGGGGAGCCAGGGCGCUGGGGGGAAAGGCAGUCGGCCCGACGGUGCCUUGGACGGGAGCAAGAAGGGAGAGAGCAUAGUGACGGAGGUGCACGCUAUAAACAUGAGUCGCAGUGUCACGGCUGUUAGUGGACAGCCUCUCAGCACUCCAGCAUACACCCAGAUUCAGCCCCACUCCCUGGUCCAGCAGCACAAACAGCAGCAGUUUGUGAUCCAGCAGACCCAGGCUUCCCAGAGGACCCAGGGCCAGCUACUGCAAACUGCCUCCAUCCAGCCACACCUGCAGACUACCUCUCUGGUCCCCCAUUCCCCCAGCCAGCCAGGCCCUAUCCCUGUGCUGCCCAAACCCACCUCUCACCACCAACCCACUACACCCAGUCAGCAGGCAACCAUCUUUCACUCCACCAUCAGCCCACAUGCUCUCCACUCCAACCUGAGCCAAGCCAAAGCCCAGCCAGUACAACUCACAGCCAUUAACCUCCAGAUACAACCAGCGCCCUCACAGGCUUCCCGAUUGGUCCAGGACAGUAAAGGGCAGGACAAGCCCACGUCAUUGGUGGUCAGAGAGCGCUGCCCAACUACCAGAGUACAGCAGCAGUGUACCCCAUCUGCCCAGUCUCCACCACAAGCCACCAAGCCAACAGAGCAGCCAAAGACUGACCCAGUCACACCCAUCAGCCAACCACAAGGAGUCACUACAACCAACAGGGUGAAUGCUGCACCUGGGACUCCACCUCCAGCCAUGACCUCGGGAAAUGAGAACGAGGCGCCCACUCUGACAGGGAGCAUCCCACAGAAUGGGGAGAACAAGCCACCCCAGGCUAUCGUCAAGCCCCAGGUCCUCACCCACGUUAUUGAGGGCUUUGUCAUCCAGGAGGGAGCUGAACCCUUCCCUAUUGAGCGGUUGCCUGUGAUGAUGGACAGCCCAAAGAAGCUGCAUGAGCAGCUCUCCUCUGACCCCGACAAGACUCCUGUUAGUAACCCCACCAACACCACAGACUCUGAGACAGAGGAGCUGACCCCUCAAGAAUUAAAAGACCAAGAAGAUUCAGAUUCUCCCAAACUGAGCUGUGAAUUCUGUGGCUGGGUGGACUUUGCCUACAAAUUCAAGGGGUCAAAACGGUUUUGUUCCAUGGUGUGUGCAAAAAGGUAUAAUGUUGGUUGCAGGAAGCGGAUAGGCCUUUUCCAUCCAGAAAGGACCAAAACAUCCAACCGCUGGCACAGAAGGUCACACAACAGCGGCCACCAAAGUAUUGAUUCUAAGAAGCAGAAGCUGUCCCCUAUGCCUCAGCAGACCCAGGGGGGUUCAGUGUCCUCCCCGAUUCCCUCCCAACCCAGCCAGGAAGAGUCCAGCCCCUGCUCUGACAUGUCCAGCUAUGAGGAGCCUCCGUCGCCCCUGUCAGCAGCCAGCUCAGGGCCACCAGCACCCCAGGCGGUGUCCCUCCUGGCAGGGAGAGGCUCGGACCAGGAGUCCACCCGGAGCCGAGAGCUGCCUCUCCUCACUCAGCACUUCCUGCCCAACGACCCCACCAAGUGGAAUGUGGAGGAAGUAUACGAGUUCAUUCGCUCCCUUCCAGGCUGCCAGGAGAUAGCAGAUGAGUUCCGCACUCAGGAGAUAGACGGGCAGGCCAUGCUCCUACUGAAAGAGGACCACCUUAUGAGUGCCAUGAACAUUAAACUGGGACCUGCACUUAAGAUCUACGCAAGCAUCAACAUGCUCAAAGACUCUUAGCCAUGAUGGGUUGAUAUGGUGCUGAUGUGUGUGCAUUUGUGUAUGUCUGUGUGCGUGUUAGUCUGUGUUUGGUGGGAAGGAGUCAUACUCUGGGACAAGAUUAAACAUGUCGCCAUCGCACUGAUGACUACCUUACCGCUGCACUACCAUUUUUCAUCCCACCUUUGGAUUGGCUCCUUCACGGUACAUUUAUCCAUGGCCUGCAGACAGGUGGACAACUGGUCAUUCCAUUGGUUGUCAAGGAGAAGUUUCCAGGGAAAUACUUUAAUGGACUGACUGCGUUAGAGUAAUGGCACAAAUAGUGCUAAAAGCACUGCAAGGAUAUAUUUGAGCUUGUAGGAAAAGAUGUGAAAAUGUGGGUAUAUCUGCAUUACUUUCUUCUGAAGUAUAAUUGUGAUUUUUAAUUAUCAUUGUGGUAUGUUUUAUUUUGGUGCUGAUCUGAUGUUAUUGACAGCCGUACGUGUACAGUAUGUUUGUCAGGGAACAAAUUAAAGCCAGUCACCAGUUUGAGUCUUAUACAACAGAUGCUUAGCUCCAUUUUAUAAUGAUCAGCAACUAUACACUGCAUGGCAUUUCACUGUGCUCAGAGCAGUUUUCUCUGUUACUUUGUGACAUUGAUAGUCUCUCUAGGCCCAUAAAAUGUACAGAGAAAGUAUCUUCUUUCCAAAUGUGAUUUACCAAGAUGCCAUGCCUUUAUUUAUUCCUGGGUCAGAUUUCACAUCCUGUGAGGUCUUCUAUGACUGUAGGGUUGACCCAUGCUAUCUAUGGGUUGACCACAAGGCUGAAAAGAUGCAUAACUCAAUGAACUCACUGUGGAUGUUCACCAUCAUACCUCUUUUAUUCCACUAGCACUUAAAAUGAUUGGUUCUCUUCUCCAUAGUUUAAAUUAAUACAACCAACAUUACUUGAUUGGGUUUGACAUUCAAAUAUUUGGUUUGGUGAGUUGUCAAGAUCUGUAUGAGUCUAAAGCUACCUUUAAGGAAUUACAUGCUUGUAUUUGCUUUUAAGUUAUCCAUAAUGUUUUAUAUAAAAAUUAAGUAUUUUGAAAUAUGCAAACAUGUAAAUAUCAUGGCUUGGGGAAGGUGUCUUUUUAGUGUUUUUAUUUUAAAAAAUAUUGUAUGCUUGUCAUGUGA